rnacentral:lncRNA from 1 species
GAUACAAUAGUACAAAUGAUAAAUUAUUUAUACAGUAAAUAAUGGCAAUAGUCAGCACAAAUCCAGAAAAAGCAGCUGGCUCCCGGGGUUAUGAGCAGUUUGGGAAAUAUUGGAACACUUGGAGAGGAAGAGUUGGGUGAGAUUCUGGUGGGAAAAGGAAAUUUCCUGUUUCUCCCCACCUGUGCAAUGUUCAGGCACAGAGCACACCUCCCAAGGGGCACAAGGGGAACAAGAGCUGUCUUGGCUAUGGGACUUCCCAAAAACUGAAAACACCACAACCCACCAGGGCUUCCCUUCCCUGCCCCCUCCACAGAGCUGAGUUUCUCUAGAGCAUAAAAUAAAUAACUGAGCUUAUUUAGGGGGAAAUGAUGCCAAGGAGUGUGUGUUAAUUUAUUUUUUUUAACAAGAUAUUUAACACUUUUCUCUUUGGUCAAUUUGACCAGUAAGGCUAUUUUUGGGCUACUAACAUUUUAAAAAUCAAAAAAGAAAAAAAAAAAGCACUUUGGAUAUUUGCAAAGUGAGAAAAAAGAAGGAGAAGAGGGGAAAAAUGAAGAAAUGGGGCAGAGGGGACACACAAACACCCUCCAGAAAUGUGGGAGGAUUAUCCUGGAGAGCAGGAAAAUCAUCACAAAGUGUCACAUUUCCCAAAGCAGCUCCUUCUCCUGCUAAACUCAGCUCCUGCCACAGCCCUGUGCCAGGCUGGCAUCUGGCCUUGCUCAGUCUCAGCCUAAAAUUUUCAGCACCAGAAUUUGGGCUGUGGCUGCUCAGGGAGCCUCCUUGGGGUUGGUUGUGCCAUAAAUGUCUUUAUUUCAUAUAAAAGGGACAAAGUUCUGGGGGCAGUGACAACGAUUUGCCAUUCAACAGCUUCAUUAAGCCAGGGCUCCCUCCCAGAGCAAAUUUACAGCGACAGCUCCAACUGCAGAAUAUUUCAGCACUUUAAAUAUUUCUUAUCAACCUCAUCUUGCCUCUAAAAAGUUCCCCAGGACGUGGCCAGGACUCUUGGCUGGACAGACAAUGCCCCAUCCCAGUGCAGUUCAGGGGACAAAGGGACAAACCCCGAGUGCCCUCGAUUCCAGAGCUGGUCAAAUCCAGCUGGGAAAACAACCCAGGAGGAACCUUGGAUCAGCUGGGAAAAAGCACUGCAGAUUCCCCCCAUCUGCAGGAAUCACACCCUUCCUGCUCUGCACUUCUCAAUAGCUUCAACAACAGCAGAAAAAAAUCUUUUGCUGUGCUCUGAAAGGCAACAUGGAUGGGGGUUUGUUUUGUUUUGUUUUGUAAGACAGGCUGGGUGUGGACAGCAAUCCUCUUCCCUCCUCUAUACACACAAGGAUUGGGAAUGCUCCUUGGCAAUUCCAGAGGAUCCCACACCUGCACAGGAACAUCCGAGCAUUCCACCCCCUGCCAGAGCUCCCCUGACCUACACAGCUCCAGGCUGGGGCUGUGUCCCUAAAUCUGAGCAUCC